rnacentral:rRNA from 1 species
GACGAACGCUGGCGGCGUGCUUAACACAUGCAAGUCGAACGGAAAGGCCCUGCUUGCAGGGUACUCGAGUGGCGAACGGGUGAGUAACACGUGGGUGAUCUGCCCUGCACUUCGGGAUAAGCCUGGGAAACUGGGUCUAAUACCGGAUAGGAGCCAUUUUUAGUGUGAUGGUUGGAAAGUUUUUUCGGUGUAGGAUGAGCUCGCGGCCUAUCAGCUUGUUGGUGGGGUAAUGGCCUACCAAGGCGGCGACGGGUAGCCGGCCUGAGAGGGUGGACGGCCACAGUGGGACUGAGAUACGGCCCAGACUCCUACGGGAGGCAGCAGUGGGGAAUAUUGCACAAGGGGCGCAAGCCGGAUGCAGCGACGCCGCGUGGGGGAUGACGGCCUUCGGGUUGUAAACUCCUUUCGCUAGGGACGAAGCUUUUUGUGACGGUACCUAGAUAAGAAGCACCGGCUAACUACGUG